rnacentral:rRNA from 1 species
GGGCCCGCACAAGCGGUGGAGUAUGUGGUUUAAUUCGAUGCAACGCGAAGAACCUUACCAGGGUUUGACAUCCUGCGAAUCUCUUGGAAACGAGAGAGUGCCUUCGGGAACGCAGUGACAGGUGGUGCAUGGCUGUCGUCAGCUCGUGUCGUGAGAUGUUGGGUUAAGUCCCGCAACGAGCGCAACCCACGUCUUUAGUUGCCAGCAUUUAGUUGGGCACUCUAGAGAGACUGCCGGUGAUAAACCGGAGGAAGGUGUGGAUGACGUCAAGUCAUCAUGCCCCUUACAUCCUGGGCUACACACGUGCUACAAUGGUCGGUACAGAGGGCAGCAAAGCCGCGAGGUGGAGCAAAUCCCAGAAAGCCGAUCUUAGUCCGGAUCGCAGUCUGCAACUCGACUGCGUG